CGAGUUAAAUUCGGUUUUUGAUUAAAACCGUUUCCACAGUUCACACAUGAAAAUGGCUUUUCACCAGUGUGAAUCCUGAUGUGCUGAGUUAAAUCCGGUUUUAGCCUAAAACUUUUUCCACACCUUCCACAU